UGGGGAAUAUUGCACAAUGGGCGAAAGCCUGAUGCAGCGACGCCGCGUGAGGGAUGACGGCCUUCGGGUUGUAAACCUCUUUCAGUAGGGACGAAGCGCAAGUGACGGUACCUGCAGAAGAAGCACCGGCUAACUACUUGCCAGCAGCCGCGGUAAUACGUAGGGUGCGAGCGUUGUCCGGAAUUACUGGGCGUAAAGAGCUCGUAGGCGGUUUGUCACGUCGUCUGUGAAAUCCUAGGGCUUAACCCUGGACGUGCAGGCGAUACGGGCUGACUUGAGUACGACAGGGGAGACUGGAAUUUCUGGUGUAGCGGUAGAAUGCACAGAUAUCAGGAAGAACACCGAUGGCGAAGGCAGGUCUCUGGGUAGUAACUGACGCUGAGGAGCGAAAGCAUGGGUAGCGAACAGG
rnacentral:rRNA from 1 species